AGCAGCCGCGGUAAUUCCAGCUCCAAUAGCGUAUAUUAAAGUUGUUGCAGUUAAAAAGCUCGUAGUUGAAUUUCGGGGUUAGCAGGUCGGUCGUGCCAUCGGUAUGAACUGGUCUCGCUGAUCCCUCCCUCUUGACGAACUGUGAUGCCAUCAAUUUGGUGUCGCGGGGAAUCAGGACUGUUACUUUGAAAAAAUUAGAGUGUUUAAAGCAGGCUCACGCUUGAAUACAUUAGCAUGGAAUAAUGAAAUAGGACGUUUGAUCCUAUUUUGUUGGUUUCUAGGAUUGACGUAAUGAUUAAUAGGGAUAGUUGGGGGCAUUAGUAUUCAAUUGUCAGAGGUGAAAUUCUUGGAUUUAUUGAAGACUAACUACUGCGAAAGCAUUUGCCAAGGAUGUUUUCAUUAAUCAAGAACGGAAGUUAGGGGAUCGAAGACGAUCAGAUACCGUCGUAGUCUUAACCAUAAACUAUGCCGACUAGGGAUCGGAUGAUGUUAAUUUUUAAUGCCUCAUUC
rnacentral:rRNA from 1 species